CAUUCUUGAGGCCUCUUUCCUGUCUGACUCAGAGGCCUGGGGGAGGUCAAGUCGCUGUGUGGUUAGGACCCAUGGCUAUGAACUUGCAGGAAAAUGUGACCUUGGCCAUGGCCGUGUUCACCAUCCUAGCCUCCAUCUACUUCUUCAACAAGGCUCAGCAGUGAAAAGGCACGGCUCCCCAGCCCACCAACCUGGCCUCUCAGCAGUGAAAAGGCACGGCACCCCAGCCCACCAACCUGGCCUCUACCUGUUCUACCAUCAUUCUGGCCUCUGAGAGCUGAUAAAUGUAACAGCAUCA